rnacentral:rRNA from 1 species
CCUUGAAGAUCGGAGUGCUUGCACUCUGUGAAACAAGAUACAGGCUAGCGGCGGACGGGUGAGUAACACGUGGGUAACCUGCCCAAGAGAUCGGGAUAACACCUGGAAACAGAUGCUAAUACCGGAUAACAACAGAUGAUGCCUAUCAACUGUUUAAAAGAUGGUUCUGCUAUCACUCUUGGGAUGGGACCUGCGGUGCAUUAGCUAGUUGGGUAGGGGUAACGGGCCUACCAAGGCGAUGAUGCAUAGCCGAGUUGAGAGACUGAUCGGCCACAUUGGGACUGAGACACGGCCCAAACUCCUACGGGAGGCAGCAGUAGGGGAAUCUUCCACAAUGGACGCAAGUCUGAUGGAGCAACGCCGCGUGAGUGAAGAAGGGUUUCGGCUCGUAAAGCUCUGUUGUUGGUGAAGAAGGACAGGGGGUAGUAACUGACCUUUGUUUGACGGUAAUCAAUUAGAAAAGUCACGGGCUAACUACGUGCCCAGUAGCCGCGGGUAAAAU